AGUCGUUUAAAUUUAUGGGACUGUUAACGUAAACAUUGCGGGAAAAAAUCUACAGAAACUUCUACCGCAGCGGCGAACGCUUCUCUCGAGCCAAACAAACAAACCUUGCCGUCCGAAGUGACCGUUCCAGCGCGCGCUCCCUCCUCGCGAACAAAAAGACAUGUGAGCUGAGCGGAGGGGCAGGGGGGAGCGCGGCUCGGAGGAGCGCCGCUGCGCUCCGGUUUCACCAGUCCUUUGACAGGCGUUACGGGCGCUGUACGGGUAGCCUCUGGUCGUGCGGUGUUGUGUUGUGUCUCUUCACAGGAUAGAGAUCACCUGAUCAGAUAUCGGAGUGGCAAAGUCUCUGAAAACUGGAUGUUUUACUUCCAAAUGACGCGAGAAGACAAUUGGCGGAGAUCAAAGGGACACGGUGACGAUGCGGAGAUACGGCCGUGGAACUGCCGCGUUAUGGUGUGACGCGUGGAUUUGAAGUGUUUUGGACGUAUUCCUUUGCUGAGUGAAAGUUUGAUCAGAGGGAUCAUAUCGAUGACUUUAGAGACGUAGAGAAGAAACAAAUGAGAGUAAAGAAAAAAAUUAAAAACUUUACUGUAUUUAUUUAAACAAGAAUCGAGUUCUCGGUUUUGGGUGGGGAAGGAGGGGACACUGUCUCCGCGCGCGAGAGAGAAAGUGAGAAAAGCGAAAGGGACAACUGGACAGUGGUUCUUCGGAACUUUUCUCUGUGGAAUAGCCUUGACCAUCCUGGAUUUAAAGUUUUCUCACAUGCCACUUUGGUUCCUCUUUCUUUAUUAUAAACUACUAGAUGACUGAAGACAAGACCGAGCAAGUCUUGGACGGCAGGUGAGACCUCUUCACCCACCGAGAGAGAUCUUCUGGAGGACGAGAGAGGCUGGGUCGCUCGGAGGGUGAGAGGGCGGCAAGGGAGGGAUCUCCUCGAGGAGGUUUUCAUGUCGUUCACCUCUGCCAAAGACGACUGUCCGCAAGACUUUAGCAGCACAUAUGUGAUGAACCUUUAACGGACGCCGCAGUGGGGACACGCACUCGCACGAGAUGCUCUACAGCCGACCAGAGGCACGCGGGAUAAAAGAGUCUGGCCUACCCGGCGCGCGCUUGGACCAGUCCAGUACGCACGGAGCAACUGGAGGGCUAAGCUGGUGCGGGGGGAGGAGGAGGAGGAGGAAGGAGAGACAGGUGACCUCCAGGUCAACCAGCAGCAGCCGUCACCCACCUUCAGACCUGCCAGGUGCUGCUGUGCGUGCUAGUGUGUCUGCUGCCCCUGGUGCAAGGGGUGCGUUUGGCUUCUAACCAGGCUGUGGCGCGGUCGGGAGGGGAGGAGCAGAGGCUGCUACCAGACACCUACCAGGAAGCGGAGGAGGAGGACAGCAACCCUUACCCCUCCUGGCAGGGUGUCUACGACCCCUAUGUGUUAGAGGAGCAGAUGAGCCAUCCAGGAGGUCACAGGGCAGAUCGCCUCCCCCGGUCCUUCCCCCCCUCCCCCCACUC